AAAUGAUCCUUUGAAUUUUUCACAUUGUUUUUCCUAUAUAUUCAUUUAUUGAUGUUUAAAUCAAUGAGAAUUCUAAAAUUAUACUUAUAAAUUUUCUUGAGAAGACAUGUCCCUCCUCUGAUUUUGUGAUAUCAUGUAAGUUGGGGAAAUAUUGAGGUGUAGUAGGAAGUUUUAAAAACAAUUGGUUUGAUCUACCGCAAAAAUUAAAAUGCAUUUGAUAUUUCUGAGUUUAUUUAUGGUGGCUUGUAAAUUUCUCAAUGACUCUUCCAACUGUUAAAUCACUCGAAACUUUACAACAUUUCCAAUCAAAUAAUAUUUUCGACAAGCGAUUCAAAUAAAAUUUCGUUUAUCAAAAAUUUGCAGAAACUAACCCUUUCUGACCGUUUAGUGUUCGAUCUUUUUUUUUUUUCGGCAAAGAGUGAUCGUC